AUUGAACGCUGGCGUCAUGCCUAACACAUGCAAGUCGAACGAGUGGCGGACGGGUGAGUAAUGUCUGGGAACCUGCCUGAUGGAGGGGGAUAACUACUGGAAACGGUAGCUAAUACCGCAUACCAUCAGAUGUGCCCAGAUGGGAUUAGCUAGUUGGUGGGGUAAAGGCUCACCAAGGCGAUGAUCCCUAGCUGGUCUGAGAGGAUGACCGGCCACACUGGAACUGAGACACGGUCCAGACUCCUACGGGAGGCAGCAGUGGGGAAUAUUGCACAAUGGGCGCAAGUCUGAUGCAGCCAGGCCGCGUGUAUGAAGAAGGCCUGCGGGUUGUAAAGUACUUUCAGCGGGGAGGCGUUACCCGAAGAAGAAGCACCGGCUAACUCCGUGCCAGCAGCCGCGGUAAUUC
rnacentral:rRNA from 1 species